GACGAACGCUGGCGGCGUGCCUAAUACAUGCAAGUCGAACGCUGAAGGAGGAGCUUGCUUCUCUGGAUGAGUUGCGAACGGGUGAGUAACGCGUAGGUAACCUGCCUGGUAGCGGGGGAUAACUAUUGGAAACGAUAGCUAAUACCGCAUAAGAGUAGAUGUUGCAUGACAUUUACUUAAAAGGUGCAAUUGCAUCACUACCAGAUGGACCUGCGUUGUAUUAGCUAGUUGGUGAGGUAACGGCUCAACAAGGCAACGAUACAUAGCCGACCUGAGAGGGUGAACGGCCACACUGGGACCGAGAAACGGCCCAGACUCCUACGGGAGGGAGCAGUAGGGAAUCUUCGGCAAUGGACGGAAGUCUGACCGAGCAACGCCGCGUGAGUGAAGAAGGUUUUCGGAUCGUAAAGCUCUGUUGUAAGAGAAGAACGAGUGUGAGAGUGGAAAGUUCACACUGUGACGGUAUCUUACCAGAAAGGGACGGCUAACUACGUG
rnacentral:rRNA from 1 species